CACCGCGGUUAUACAAGAAGCCCAAACUAACAUCCAACCGGCGUAAAAUGUGGCUAAUCUAAUCUAAAAAAAUUAAGGCAAACCCCUACUCGACUGUCAUACGUUAAAGUUUAUAUUACCACAUUAUAAAAAUAGCCUUAAUAUAAUAAGACCCAUUUGAAUCCACGAUUGCUAAGACA
rnacentral:rRNA from 1 species